UACGGGGGGUGCGAGCGUUGUCCGGAAUCACUGGGCGUAAAGGGCGCGUAGGUGGUUUGAUAAGGGUGUGGUGAAAGUCCGGAGCUCAACUCCGGAUCUGCCGUGCCGACUGUCAAACUCGAGGGCUGUAGAGGCAGACGGAAUUCCGGGUGAGCGGUGGAUGACGUAGAGAUCCGGAGGAAGACCGGUGGCGAAGGCGGUCUGCUGGGCAGUUGCUGACACUGAGGCGCGACAGCGUGGGGGAGCAAACGGG
rnacentral:rRNA from 1 species